UACAAUCAAACAAAGUUAAGCUCACAGGCUCAGUGGCAUUCAUGAUCAUUAGUGUGUCACAUGUUACUUUUAAACAGCUGCCACAGUUUUUAGUUUUUUUCUCUCAUUGUAUUAGUAUCUAGGCAGUCAGGAUCAGGUUAACUGUCAGGAUCAGGUUUCUCUUGUCAAGUCCACAAUCUUGGAUGGAGCUUCUAGAUAGCCAAGUAAUAGAUGGUGAUGCCUGUCCCAGAACAGACACCAAGCUCCAUCCAUCUGCCCUCCACACUCUUUCCUCCCAUUCUGCCAGAGGAGCCCUAGGAUAAAGGGGCUUAGGCAUGGGAAGAAUGCUCUGGGAGAACAGAUGAGACUGAAGGAUGGGAAGGAGCAGAAACAAAGGACAGGUGGCGAAUAAGGAAGGAAGAGAUCUGCCAUUUGUGACUCUUCUUAAGGUCACAGCAAGAAGCCAGUGGGGUCAUGGACAGCUACCAUGGGACAGCUACUCCCCAGCAGCUCUGCCUCCUUUUCUGCCUCAAGGAAGCAGGGAGAAAUGUCCAGAGCACGGAAAUAGCUCUUCCCAGCCAAGCACCACUCCCCAACAAGCGUCCCCACCUGGUUUACUUUCAUGGCUGGCAUUUGACACAGCCUGAUUUAUAGAAACUGAGAAAGUGACCGUUCUCAAAUUCCCUCUUAACUUGGGAUGCCUCAAAUUCAAUUAAAAGGAGAUGAACACAGAGUGGGAAGAACUUGGAGAAAUAAUAAAUUCAUAUGAAUGAG
rnacentral:sRNA from 1 species